rnacentral:rRNA from 1 species
GAUGAACGCUGGCGGCGUGCCUAACACAUGCAAGUCGAGCGGACGGACGAGAAUCUUGUGGCGCUCGUGUGAGCGGCGGGCGGGAGAGUAACACGUGGAUAACCACCCUAAAAGACUGGGAUAACUUCGAGAACGCGUAGCGAAUAGCAGAUGAUAUUUUGAACCGCAGGGUGGAAUAGUGAAAGACGGUCUUGCUGGCACGGAUAGAGGGUACCGCGCUGCAUUAGCUAGUUGGUAAGGUAACGGCUUACCAAGGCAACGAGGCAUAGCCGACCUGAGGGAGUGAUCGGCCACGCUGGAAGUGGGACACCGUCCAGACUCCUACGGGAGGCCGCAGCAGGCACUCUUGCGCGAUAGGCGAGAGCAUUGCGCCGCAACGCGGCGUGAGCUAUGGAGGUCUUCGGAUCGUGAGGCUCUGUUCUUAGGGGUGAACAUAUGUGUAAGUCGCUGAAGGCAUAUUGACGGUACCUGAUCAGAAAGCCACGGCUAACUACGUG